ensembl:lncRNA
CACAGCAGACGUGAAGGACUAUAAUGUGAUAUGAGCUCGCUCAAGUAUUGAGUAGCUAAACCAUUCAGGGCUUUAUAAGUAAUUAGAUAGAUUUUAAAAUGUAUUCGUUGUUCAAUAAGGAGCCAGUGCAGAGAUGUCAGAACCGGGCUAAUAUGGUCAUACUUCCUGGUUCUAGUAAGAACUCUAGCUGCUGCAUUUUGGACCAGCUUGAGAUUGUUUAUUAAAGACCCAUCUCUUUAACCUGGCAUACACAUAACACACUGUCACAUUUUUAUUAUUCAAAUCAGUUAAAGGAUUGUUAGGCUGCAUAAUACACAAUGUUGUCACUACAUUGUAAGAAGAAUGGCAUCUAUGCUAAUAUUAAUCUCUUUCAUUCUUAUUCCGAAGUCACCGUAGCCACCCAGAUCCAGUACGUAUCAGGAUCAGAUGCUGGAUCAGCACCUAAAGACUGUCACCCGAGACCAUGUCAACUAGAAGCAUCCCAGAGACAGAUCCUCUGUAAAGACUUUAUCACCUUGACAACCAUCACCAUCCCAGACCACAGGAACCAGACAAGUCCUCUGCACCUGUGUUGGAGGCUGGAAUUACCACACCAUGCUGGUUUCGUCAUGCCAGCGGAGAACUUGCCCCCCUGACUGAGCCUGGUUUCUCCCAAUGUUUUUUCUCUAUUUCUGUCACCGAUGGAGUUUUGUACAACCCAAAGAUCUAGAUUAGCUGUUUAAAUUUUAUUUUAUUAAAAACAAUCUAGAAGAAGCAUCAGCUCAAUGAAGUAAGGAUAAAUCCAUCCUUCCAUUAUUUCAAUGUCACAACAUAUUUCUGAACUUUUAUUAAUUAAUGAUUAAAAUCUUACAGUGAUUGGCUAACAUCUUAUGUUGUGCAUUUCUACCAUCCAACCCUACUGGUGGCUGAUGAAAUAUUUUAAGAAUUAUAUAUUGAAUAAGCAUUGGUUAACCAUUCAGACCAGACAUCUAUUUUACUAGAGAAAGCAAUAUUAUGGAUAGAGAACUUGUGUGGAUUACUUUUUGAUUAUUGUGAUGUUUUUUUUUAUUUAUUUUUUUGACUCUCAUUUUGAUGGCACCCAUUCACUGCAGAAAAUCCACUGAUUAGCAAGUGAUGUAAUGCUAAAUUUCUCCAAAUCACAUUUAAUUUUACCUUGAUGGGUUUUGACUUUUUAAUGCCUUGAUAGAUUAAAUCAGUGUAGGUCAAGAGUACACAAUUUAUGUGACACCACCAAAUUAUGACCCAAAAAUAAACCUGUAACAACCAACUCCGAACUCUCCA